rnacentral:sRNA from 1 species
CCCUCUCUUUUAUUACUUUCUCCAUUGUUUAGUUUCUAGAUUUUUCCAUUCUCUCUAAGUUUCUUCACCCUCUCUUUUUUUUUUACCUUCUUUACUCUUUGCAUCUUUAUGUUUUCUUUUUUCACUGCUCUUUUCAUUUUUUUUUUUACUUUCUUCGUUUGUUUUCCUACUUUUUUUCUUCAUUUUGUUGAGUCUUUGAUUUAUUCAACCACUGUUCUUCUAGGGUUCUUUACUUAUUUGUAUUUUGAUUUGUGAUUUGUAUUUUUUCUUUUUUGCAUUUUGGUUUCAUUGUUGUAUGAAUCUUUCUAUCUUUGUCUUUUUCGUUUCUCACUUCUUUCUUGCCUUCAAUUGUUCUUAACUUUUGUGAUUCAUUUUGUGACUUUCAGAUCUUAACCACCAACUAGGAGGCUUCGCUAUAUACUUGCUAAAAGAAAUAAGGUUGUCCAUGGGGAAGCAUCGGUGGGCUUGGUUCAUCAAUUAAGGGACACUGAAAUCUUAUUGAAAGUAGUCAUUCACUGGGUUGUAGAUGCUGCAAAUUGUGACCUAUCACAAGGUAAUGUUUCUUAUCUUAUUUUUCUUUUCUUAUCCAUUAAUUACUUUAUUAUUUAUCAAAUCAAAUUGAUACUUGAUAGGGACAUUGCUCCUGAUGGCAAAAUGCUACAAGUUAGAUAAUUUUUUAAUUGGGUUUUAACUUUCAUGGAUUAGAUUGAGAAACAAGAGCACAAAAUCUCUUUAUAAUUUGAUCCAAAAUGCAAGCUACCAUGAUGAAACUAAUGAUCAAUAUGAUGAUCAUAUAAAUUAGUAAUACCUGUAAUGAUCAAUAUCAUAUAGAUUUUAGGUCAUCAAGAAAGAUUGGGAGCAGGUAUACAUCAACACAGCCUCAAAUAUUCUAACAUAAAUUGUUUAAGCUCUCAUUACAUGUUGCUACAUUAAUGUUUGAUAGUACAAGAAUCAAUUAUAUUUUCUUUCAAUAGUAUAUAAACAACUGUCAAAUCAUAUGCUCUUCUAAUUGUGUUUAUUUAUACUUUAUCUAAUUGUCUUCUCGAAUAGUUUGCACUUACUUGCAUAUAAAAUUAGUCUUGCCUAUAGCAUUGAAAGCUCUUAUAAUCAAUUUAAAUGCAAGUCUUGCCUUCAUCUAAUUAUCUUCUUUUACUUUUUUGUUGAUUAAAUACAAAUCCUCAAUUCUAAAUACCAUUUCUUGGUGUUAAUAUUACAUGAAUUGAUUGCUCAGCAUAAUAUAUAUUUAUCAUAGAAUGGCUUACCUCUUUAUUAAUUUCACAAAUGAUACAUACAAUUUCCUAUCAUCAACAAAUAAUUUUAAUUCAUGUUUGUUUCCUACCUUUAAAAACCUAUGUAUCAUAUUAGUUGCAUUUAUGUUCUGUACCAUUUUGACACUCAUGUUUUCCAUUUAUAUAACGAACUUACUGCUGGUUAGAAUUUCCAUUUCCUUGAACAUUUAGUAUACUUAAUUGAUUAGAACACAUUUUUGUUCUUAUUUUAUUUGUAUAAUUUUCUUAUUUUUUUUAAAAAAAUCUCAUACAGUUUUUAUGUUCCUAUCUCAUGCUUGCUUUUCUACACAAACACAUUUACAUAUUCCCUUCACAACUUAACAUUUGAAACGACAUGAAAUAUUGAUAUAUAAUAUUGUUUACUACAUGCAGGAUCAUAUCCGACAAACGAGUAUGAGGGAUCCUAGCUCACUACAAGCCUUUUGUUCGCCUUUCAUUAGAUUAGCAAUUACAAAAUAAAAUGCCUUCUUAAUUUCGUAUGAAGGCACCAACUUUACACAAACAUUAUUAAAUAUCCAUGACCCCAGUGUAAACUUUUGUUUUGACUUUUAUACAUAACAACCUACAGAAAAAGAAUUGGCAAUUGCACAUCACAAAGCUUCAUUUUUGUAUGGAA